rnacentral:sRNA from 1 species
ACUCCAAGAAAAGUAAUCAUUUUCUCUGGAAAAGAAAUCAAUCUUGAACGUCAGGAGCAGUGAGGAUUUGUUUGAGAUAUUUUAACCUAAAUUGGCUCAUCUCACACUCUGUCUAUAGGAGCACAAUAGAUGAACUUUGGGGAGAGUUGAUCCUGUCAUCUCAGCUCCUCACCCACAGACCUGGGUGGCCACAGCAAUCCAUAUGGCCCAGCAAUCAGAAUUGAUUAGGAAGUCCUGGAAUGGAAAGGCUGGCCAGGAGUGGAUUAGCUGCCUGGGUAUAGAAACAUUUGGGGCUCCUGUGUUCAGGGUAGCAGUCAUGCUUCUUACACUCCCAGCAAAGAGAAGAAAACCAACUAGCCAUUCCCGGGAUGAUCUGAACAACCACAGCACUCUAGCAGACAGCCUCUGCCCCAGUCUAGGGAAGUGCCUAUGUAGACAGGACUUCUCCACAGCAAUGGGUAGAUUGCAUGUCCUCAUGUCUGCCUGAUAGCACAGGGCCUCAAAACCCAUGUUGUACCAAAACCAGACUAAGGUAAGUCAGUCGGUGAUGUCACUGAUGUUACUGGUGAUGUCACUGAUGUUACUGGUGAUGUCACUGAUGUUACUGAGCCAACCUCCUUUCCAACUGUGCACACAGCCUAGACAACUCUCUCUGGAAACAUAUUAAUUCUCCGUGUCACAGUGAUGCUCUGUUGUUGGCUUCAUGGAUGUAGGCUUAGCUGGGUGUCCCUGUUAGUCCUCCCAGCACACAAGGCAUACCAACCGGGAUUGAGAUGCAAACAAUUGGUCUAUCCGGAUACUUUAUCUUUAUGGUGUCCAGAACCCUAUUGUGGAGGCAGGGAUUCCGACUUGGGGACUGUAAGUCAAGCUUCUUGGCAGUAUGAACCUCUGGCCCUCUAGUGAGAAAGCUCUAUGCCCAUCUCAAUUCUGCUCCCACAUGCCUUCAUUUAAAUGUUGACUUCCUGAAAAAAAGGUUCACAAGGCUCUGCGGGACAUAUGCUUCUCCGUGUACUGGGCGUUCAUUUCCCAGAAAUCACCUUCUCACCAGAUAGACAGGCAUGAAAUGACCAGCAGUCCACCUGAACUCAGUGCUAAGGGCAGGGCGCUCCCACCCCACCUGUGGUCUCUAUGCCACACACAGGCCUUCCAGCUUUCUUUCCUCGGCUGUGACAAAGGAGUGGUAAGCUGGCACGGAAAGUCUCGGGCAAACCCAUGAAUCAGUGAUGACACAGCACAUCUUGAAUCCACCGCAGGUGGUUGCACAGGUAACCAGGGUCUCUCUUUCACUAAGCUGGACUGCACCUUGAAACUGUGAGCCAAAGUUAACCCUUUCAUAACAUGCCGUUUACACUUAAUUUUUCACAGCAACCAAACAGACUCUGGAGCCAGGAAGCUCAGUGCUUGGGUCUGCUGCAAACUGCUGGAAGCGUAAAUGGGAAGAAAGUUCUCUCUGCAUAGCUCACAGCUCUGCACUGAUCUCAGCGCUGUCGGAAGUGUGUACCGGGAUUCCGUCUUUCUCACUUGUUUUCUGUGCUCAGGGCUGUUGCAGGCAAAGGUCUUUUGCUAACGAGGCGAGCAACGGGAGAUGGUGAGAGUUGGUCGAUGGCAGUUGAGAACAGGACAUGAAAAGAUGUUUCCAUACAUUGCCGAAAGAGAAAGAGGAGGAACCAUCAGAGUGUGGGAGAAGGAAUGAUGCCCAUGACUGAUCCAAGGAUGCUCUGGGUGUUAGCUCCAGCAGACAGUGCUGGGUGCAUGCUUGCUCAGCGCUUGUAUAUGCUGACCCCUAACCUUGCUGACCCAACCCUUGCAGAUAGAAGUCCCUAACCUUGCUAUCCCAACCCUUGCUAAUGAUGACCUGUAACCUUUCUAUUUCAGCCUUUGCAGAUGUGGGCCCUUGACACUGUAAUCAUCUUUGUUAGGUGUGCAAAAGAUGACCCUCCGAACCAUAUGAACACAGUUCUGGGAACUGUGCCCUCUAUGUUCAAACUAAUAUAAACAAGAAUGUAAGGAAAAGAACCCCA